AGUGAACGCUGGCGGCGUGCCUAAUACAUGCAAGUCGAGCGACCACACAAUAAGCUUUUUCUUCUACCGUUGGCGGCUGACGGGUGAGUAACACGUGGAUCACCUUCCUCUUAUUCUUGGAUAACUUCGUAGAACCACUUCUGCUACUACCUCAUAUAUUGUACCGCAUAAUUCAAUAGUUCAUCGCGCCUUUCCUGUCACUUUUAGCUGGUGUCGCAUUAGCUAGUUGGCAGGGUAAGGGCCCACCAAGGCAACGAUCCGUAGCUGAUCUGAGAGGAUGAUCAGCCACACUGGAACUGAGACACGGUCCAGACUCCUACGGGAGGCAGCAGUAGGGAAUAUUGGGCAAUGGGCGAAAGCCUGAUGCAGCAAUGCCGCGUGGGUGAAGAAGGCCUUCGGGUUGUAAAACCCUUUUGUUGGGAAAGAAAAGAAGUAGAUGAAAACACGGAUGUUCUGACGGUACCCAAAGAAAAAGCAACGGCUAACUUCGUG
rnacentral:rRNA from 1 species